UUUUCCUUAUAUUUGCCCUAGCCCGUCACAGACACUGAUUGUUGUCUCUUUCUCACGCGUUGUCGUUCUGUCCCUCUGUCUCACUCUCUCUGUCUCUCUCUCGGUCUGAAUCUCUCAAUCUCGUUUUCUUUCUCCUUCAUGUUCUUCUCAAUCUCUCAAUCCCAAUUCUUUCGAACUCGAUUGAAGGGUUUGGAUCAACGGAUGACCCUUGCAAUUUCUAGGGUUUUCCAUGUCGAUUACAUCACCAAUGGGCGAAUUGAAGAUAGAAGAGAUGUCUCUCCCUGCUCUGUUCGAUCAGGCUCGAAAUUCAUCUAUCAGCUUCCGAAUCUGGCAUUGAUCAGGAAUUUAAAAACAUUUUUCCUAGUGGAGGUGUAGACCCCAGUUUUGAGAAGACAUUGUAGACAACCGUUAAUGUGGUUCUGUUUGUUGUUUUCGUGUUAUGCCGCUUUAGAGGCCCACUUGGCGCUUGGACACAUGAGCUUUCUAAUAAGUCAAUAAUCUACUUUGUGGGAUGCUGUGUGAACCGAAAUGCUGCAAGGAGCCACUCUGAAGUUUGAAACAGACCAAUAUAUCUCAAGAAAUCUUGACUUGGAGGUAAAUUUGUUCACAUUCCUUAAAAAUCACACUUACUAUCUGUAAGUUUAUCGUUGAUAAUUUUAGACACAGAUACACAUACAUCAUUGUUUCUCAAGCACCGACUGGGAAAUUUAUAGCUGGAGCAUCUCUUUUCUGGAGUAUUACAAUUCUGUGAAGGUUUUAUCAUUCAUGUGAUUAUGUGUUAGAGAAUGCAAGAAAGAAUGUUGUAUCCAUCACAUGCUUCAAAGGAGUUAUUAUUAUUUCAAUACCUCAAAAUGGUGCUUUUUUUUUUUUUUUUUUUUCUCUUCAAAAUACAACAAAUGCUUGUAAUUCGAGUUCAUUGUAAAAAUCAGAAAUUUGGGGACUGUUUAUUCUUAGAAGAUUGAUGAUACAUGCAUCUCAUCAAAGUAGAGCUAAUCCCAGUUGGGUUCAUAGGCAAUUUCAACACUUAGCAGAUACUAAAAGGUUGUUUCUUCCGUCUAAAAGAAGAACAGGCUAGAAGGCCCAUCACCAACUGUCAAAGCCAGCUUUACAGGUCCUUUUUGCACCUUGUUCAGCCGUGUAGUGUCCAUUAUUAAAGCUCAUGUCUGUUUUACAAAAGGCAGGAGUAGCUGAAUUUAUGCCAAAAUUUGGGAAUUUUUUAGCUAAAAACCUCGUAUAGGCAUUAAGAGCUGCUUUGGAGACAACAUAUGCAGAGCGAACAGACCAGCCUUUAACAAAUCCUCUUUAGCAUCCUGUAAAUACCAACUCACUACCUCAUCUACUCUCUAUUUUGUGAGUCCAUCAACAUCACUCAGUACCUCUCUUGCCCAUUCAUUUGUAACAUUUUGCAUAAAAACAUUUAGUUAUAUGUCACGGGCUAAAUUUAUAGCACAGUUUAACCAGCCUUUGAGGGAAAGUUUUUUACCUUUAGCUGCCCCAAACCGGAUGAGACAUUAACAAUUCUUACAGAACUAGAGAGCCGAAGAAGUGGAAUGAGAGCUUGAGAUAGCUGUUUAGGUCCGUAGUAAUUUGCAAGCCGUAAAAAUUCAAUUUUGUUGUAGUGAAGUUAUGAAUAUGAUGAUUGUCAUGGCUGUCACCUGUUAUCAUUGCUAUUGCUUUUGGGCUUUUGAUUUUGGAAAGAACUUCCUAAUAUCAAAUAUGAUUAAUUCAUGUGGAAUAAGCAUUAAUCAGAGUGAUCUCAUGAUUUUGGAGAGCCAUGUUGUAUACUCCUUAAGUAAAGAAAAGACAGCUGCUCACUUUUAUAUUAUGCAAAGCACCCAAUCAAUCAGGGAGGAUCUUCAAGUUCCUAUUAUAGAUGUUCUUGAGAGGUUUGUGCUGCUCACUACCAUUCUUUUGUUAAGCACCUGUUUGCUAAUUUGUUGUGGCAGGUAAAGGGUGAUAUACUUUUCAUCACAUGAGUAAGCCUUUUGAUGGUAAGGUUCAAAUGCCAAAGUAAUUUCAAUCUUUGUUGAUAUGUACCUUUAGUCAUUCAACUAAGGCAGACAGAGAUGAAAGUCUCACAAUCCUCAUUCCUAUAAUUUGCAUCGAAAGAGGAUGCAUUCUUUAUUUUUUUCCAAUCUUAUUAUUGAUUUGGUUUCUAACUUGCAAACACAAUCUUUCUUUCUUGGGGAAUUAUUUUUUGUAGAAACGUUGUAAGGCAGCAUACACCUUACCCUCCUUAGUCCCUGCUUUAGUGGGAGUUUUGUGCACUGGUUUGCUUUCUUUAUCCCACUGCUAAUGUGUGUUGUAUGUGUGUGUGUGUGUUUUUUUAUUUUUUUGUAAACCCAGGACUUGCAAUUAUGUCUCCUAUUGGUAAAAUGCUGUCAUGUUUACUGUUCCAUGCUGGUGUUGAAUUUGUGUAGGUCACCGCGCAUGUCAAAAGCCCAGAAAUACAAAUAAGUUGAUAUUUUUGUUCCACUAAACUGGAAUGGAGCUGUAUCUGUUCUAUUUGUUGGGUGGAAAUUGACUCCCUAAUAAUUUUUGAGAUGUUCAUGAUAGUAGGAAGAAACUCUUAGUAACAAAACAUGAUCUUUUUCCAAGUAGAAGGGUUUUGCUUGAUUUUUGUUGUGAAUCCCAAAGAUAACAUUCUAAUAAUUAUUAAAUUACUCCAAUGUUGUCCUAA